rnacentral:rRNA from 1 species
CGGCUCAGUAACACGUGGACAACCUACCCUGCGGAAGGGGAUAACCCCGGGAAACUGGGGAUAAUACCCUAUAGGAUAUUGAUGCUGGAAUGCGUGAUAUCUGAAAGUUGAGGCGCCGCAGGAUGGGUCUGCGGCCGAUUAGGUAGUUGUUGGGGUAACGGCCCAACAAGCCUGUAAUCGGUACGGGUUGUGGGAGCAAGAGCCCGGAGAUGGAUUCUGAGACAUGAAUCCAGGCCCUACGGGGCGCAGCAGGCGCGAAAACUUUACAAUGCGGGAAACCGUGAUAAGGGAACCCCGAGUGCCCGUAGAAUCGGGCUGUUGAUCUGUGUAAAAAGCAGGUAAAGAAAGGGCCGGGCAAGACCGGUGCCAGCCGCCGCGGUAAUACCGGCGGCUCGAGUGGUGGCCACUAUUACUGGGCUUAAAGCGUUCGUAGCUGGGUUGUUAAGUCUCUUGGGAAAUCCACCGGCUCAACCGAUGGGCGACCAGGGGAAACUGGCAUUCUAGGGACCGGGAGAGGUGAGAGGUACUCCAGGGGUAGGAGUGAAAUCCUGUAAUCCUUGGGGGACCACCGAUGGCGAAGGCAUCUCACCAGAACGGCUCCGACAGUGAGGAACGAAAGCUGGGGGAGCAAACCGGAUUAGAUACCCGGGUAGUCCCAGCUGUAAACGAUGCGCGUUAGGUGUAUCGGUGACCACGAGUUACCGAGGUGCCGAAGGGAAACCGUGAAACGCGCCGCCUGGGAAGUACGGUCGCAAGGCUGAAACUUAAAGGAAUUGGCGGGGGAGCAC